rnacentral:rRNA from 1 species
UGCAAGUCGAACGGGAAGAGAUGAAGAGCUUGCUCUUUAUCGAAUCCAGUGGCAAACGGGUGAGUAACACGUAAACAACCUGCCUUCAGGAUGGGGACAACAGACGGAAACGACUGCUAAUACCGAAUACGUUCCACGGGCCGCAUGACCUGUGGAAGAAAGGGUAGCCUCUACCUGUAAGCUAUCGCCUGAAGAGGGGUUUGCGUCUGAUUAGGCAGUUGGUGGGGUAACGGCCCACCAAACCAACGAUCAGUAGCCGGUCUGAGAGGAUGAACGGCCACACUGGAACUGAGACACGGUCCAGACUCCUACGGGAGGCAGCAGUGGGGAAUCUUCCGCAAUGGACGAAAGUCUGACGGAGCAACGCCGCGUGAGUGAAGACGGCCUUCGGGUUGUAAAGCUCUGUGAUCCGGGACGAAAGAGCCUGAGGUAAAUAGCCUAAGGAAGUGACGGUACCGGAAAAGCAAGCCACGGCUAACUACGUGCCAGCAGCCGCAGUAAUACGUAGGUGGCAAGCGUUGUCCGGAAUUAUUGGGCGUAAAGCGCGCGCAGGCGGCUUACUAAGUCCAUCUUAAAAGUGCGGGGCUUAACCCCGUGAUGGGAUGGAAACUGGAAAGCUGGAGUAUCGGAGAGGAAAGUGGAAUUCCUAGUGUAGCGGUGAAAUGCGUAGAGAUUAGGAAGAACACCGGUGGCGAAGGCGACUUUCUGGACGAAAACUGACGCUGAGGCGCGAAAGCGUGGGGAGCAAACAGGAUUAGAUACCCUGGUAGUCCACGCCGUAAACGAUGGAUACUAGG